AAGCAGUUAAGUUGAUUUCUUCGGAUUGAUUCUUAACUGACUGAGCGGCGGACGGGUGAGUAACGCGUGGGUGACCUGCCCCAUACCGGGGGAUAACAGCUGGAAACGGCUGCUAAUACCGCAUAAGCGCACAGGACCGCAUGGUCCGGUGUGAAAAACUCCGGUGGUGUGAGAUGGACCCGCGUUUGAUUAGGUAGUUGGUGGGGUAACGGCCUACCAAGCCGACGAUCAGUAGCCGACCUGAGAGGGUGACCGGCCACAUUGGGACUGAGACACGGCCCAAACUCC
rnacentral:rRNA from 2 species